rnacentral:rRNA from 1 species
ACGUGAGAAACCAACCCCGGUCUCUGGGAUAACAGUUGGAAACGACUGCUAAUACUGGAUGUCGUCGUACCCUCGCAUGGGGGGAUGACGAAAGGGUUACCGGAUCGGGACGGUCUUGCGGCCUAUCAGCUUGUUGGGGAGGUAACGGCUCACCAAGGCUUCGACGGGUAGCUGGUCUGAGAGGAUGAUCAGCCACACUGGGACUGAGACACGGCCCAGACUCCUACGGGAGGCAGCAGUGGGGAAUCUUGCGCAAUGGGCGAAAGCCUGACGCAGCAACGCCGCGUGCGGGAUGAAGGCCUUCGGGUUGUAAACCGCUUUUAACAGGAACGAAAAUGACGGUACCUGUAGAAUAAGGUGCGGCCAACUACGUGCCAGCAGCCGCGGUGACACGUAGGCACCAAGCGUUGUCCGGAUUUAUUGGGCGUAAAGAGCUCGUAGGCGGUUCAGUAAGUCGGGUGUGAAAACUCUGGGCUUAACCCAGAGACGCCACUCGAUACUACUGUGACUAGAGUCGNAGGG